rnacentral:rRNA from 1 species
GUGAGGAAUUUUCCGCAAUGGGCGAAAGCCUGACGGAGCAAUGCCGCGUGAAGGAUGAAGGCCUAUGGGUUGUAAACUUCUUUUCUCAGAAAAGAAUUAUGACGGUAUCUGAGGAAUAAGCAUCGGCUAACUAUGUGCCAGCAGCCGCGGUAAGACAGAGGAUGCAAGCGUUAUCCGGAAUGAUUGGGCGUAAAGCGUCUGUAGGUUGUUUAAAAAGUAUUCUGUCAAAGAUUAGGGCUUAACCCUAGAUAGGCAGAAUAAACUUUUAAGCUAGAGUUUGGUAGAGGCAGAGGGAAUUCCCGGUGGAGCGGUGAAAUGCGUAGAUAUCGGGAGGAACACCAAAGGCGAAGGCACUCUGCUGGGCCAAUACUAACACUGAGAGACGAAAGCGAGGGGAGCAAAUGGGAUUAGAUACCCGUGUAGUCC